GAUCCUGGCUCAGGAUGAAUGCUGGCGGCGUGCCUAACACAUGCAAGUCGAGCGGCAGCGAGGGGUGCUUGCACCCUGUCGGCGAGCGGCGGACGGCUGAGUAACGCGUGGGAAUCUACCCUAAAGUGAGGGAUAACCGCCCGAAAGGGUGGCUAAUACCGCAUAUGAUCUUCGGAUUAAAGGAUUUAUCCGCUUUAGGAAGAGCCCGCGUUAGAUUAGGUAGUUGGUAGGGUAAUGGCCUACCAAG
rnacentral:rRNA from 1 species